rnacentral:tRNA from 1 species
AGGAUUAUAGUUUAAUUUCACAAAACAAUUAAUUUGCAUUUAAAAAAAAUUGAAUUCUGUCAAUUAAUCUUA